rnacentral:rRNA from 1 species
AAAUUGAAGAGUUUGAUCAUGGCUCAGAUUGAACGCUGGCGGCAGGCCUAACACAUGCAAGUCGAGCGGAAACGAGUUAWCUGAACCUUCGGGGRACGAUAACGGCGUCGAGCGGCGGACGGGUGAGUAAUGCCUAGGAAAUUGCCCUGAUGUGGGGGAUAACCAUUGGAAACGAUGGCUAAUACCGCAUGAUGCCUACGGGCCAAAGAGGGGGACCUUCGGGCCUCUCGCGUCAGGAUAUGCCUAGGUGGGAUUAGCUAGUUGGUGAGGUAAGGGCUCACCAAGGCGACGAUCCCUAGCUGGUCUGAGAGGAUGAUCAGCCACACUGGAACUGAGACACGGUC